CAACAAAUCCUAACAAAUUAAAUCACCAAUCCCAAAAUAUUCCCUUAUCCUAACUAAUUUUUACACCUCAUCCACACCCUACCGCUACCCUACCUACCCACGUGACCCCACCCAUUUCCAUCUCACGUUUUUUCCUUGUUUGUCCAUAACAAAUUACACAUACAAUAAAAAAGGAAGGGGGCCCACGGGAAUUGGGGGAUACAGCUCAUAGGGAUCUUUUCCAUUUUUAUAUACUUCAAAAAAAUACCAAAUUGAGGGAGGAGAAUUAGAGGGGGGCAUAAUUUGCACAUACACAUAGACCCAUAUACUCACCACUCUCAAUUGACCAUGGGAAUAGAAGAACACUUCAAAAAUUCCUCACUUUCUCAACAUCCACACAGAAUAAUCUGAAUGGCUUCUUCACCAUAGACACAUAACACAGUGGAGAAUUUUCUUUUCUUCUCCACCAUCACAGCAAUACUCAUUCUCACGGAGGACCUCACACAUCACAUACAUACUCCAUUUCUUUUUCCUUUUUCUUGGUACGAAGAGAACUAUACACACUUUCACAUAUACACACCACUAUCACCGAAAAAGAACCCCUACUAAAGUGAAAUCCACACUACCCUCCAUGCACCAGCUAUUGAGAACAAAAAAUAGCUGGGAAUAAGAGUGAAUCAUGUGUGAGAGAGGGAGAUUGGAAAUUGGAAACUGAGAAAAAAAAAGUGAAGGGAAACCCGAUCAGCUCACCGAAUUUCGGAAGGGGGUGGUCCAUUUUUGCUGGAUCGGAAAUGGGUUCAUUUGUGGUUUGUUUUCGUGAUUCCUAUUUUGGGUCAAACUAGUUUUGGUUUUGGAUUCAUAAUUCUGUUCACAAUUAUCGAUUUAGAAGUUCGUAUUGAGUUUGUCUUACUAGUUUUGAAUUUGGUCCAUAUCUAUUUAUGACGUCUACGCAAACAACAGCAGCAUCACCCAUUUUUAUCAAAAUCAAUUCCAAAAUCAGUCAAUGUGGGUACAACAUUUGGUUUGGAUCAGUCUAUUUGCCGUGGUCUGUUGCGGGUUGCAAUUUCUCAAAUACCGAGUUGAAUUUUAGUUCGUUGUUGAGGUAUUCUAUUCGGGAUUCUAAGUCCGGGCUUUCUUAAACAUUUUCUCAAUGAAAUCCGUUCUUUGAAGGAUCUCUUGGGCUUCUGGCAGUUUCUUGAGGAGGUACGGAAAAGAGGUUGAGUAAGGGGAGUGCUUGUGUAGUAAAAGAGGAUGGCAAGUCACUUUUCUCUCUUUAAUUUGAGAACUUAACUAUAUCAAGAAGGGGGGACCUGGGAGGAGUUUGACUUCUGGUGGACUAAUAUUGAACAUCAGUGCUACUUUGCAUUACAAUGCAUCUUGGUAUCAAAUCCAUGUAGCUGUUGCUAAGGAUGCUGUUGAUGCAGUCACUAGAAAUUUGGCUCUAGAAUGGGGCACAGACUAUGAUAUUAGGGUAAAUAGUAUUGCACAAGGCAACAUAGGUGACACUGCUCGCAUGCAUAAUCUUGGACCGGAGGAGAUAAGCAAUAAGAGCAGAGAAUACAUGCCUCUCUACAAACUUGGGGAGAAAUAUGAUAUUUCUAUGGCUGCUCUGUAGCUUGUGUCGGAUGUUGGUUUUCAAGCUGAUGCACAAAUAGUACUUUGAAGGGAUUCCGCCGCUGGUUUCUACUUUCGAUACGGCAAAGAAAGAGGAAUUGCAGAAUCAGUUCUAUGUGGUACCAGAUGAUCUUAUCUUGUUUGCUGUUUGUCACCAUGCAGAAGUCAAUAAAACAUUGGAUCAUCUAAGAACAUAUGUUGCACAUGAACUGGGUUUAAUUGACAAUUCCAGGCAUUCAAUACUUUGGGUGACUGACUUACCAAUGUUUGAGUAGAAUGACUCAGAACAGAGACUUGAGAGACUUAAAGAAUCAUGAAUCAACAAGGGCGUUCGAGAAAUAAUCAGAAAAUGAAAAACUUUCUUUCAGCUGGAUCACUAGCAGCUUUACGAAACAAACAAAUACUAGAACACAAGAGAUGGAGAAAAUGAUGAAGACAUUGACCAUACUUGAGAAGAUUUUUGGGUUGUGGAUACAUUCUCUAAUAUAAAAAGUUUUGUUGAGAAUUUGUUUAAGCUUGUCUCAACUUGAACUCGCUAGUAUGUAAAACCUUAACUAAUAAUUUGGACUUGAUUACAUUUUACUUUU